rnacentral:lncRNA from 1 species
UUUGGUAGAUAUGAUGUGUGCAAGUUGAGUGUGACAAUUUGUGUCACACUAGGUUAGGUCAAUUUCAUGAUUUCAUUUGACAUGCCUAUGCUUUGCCAAUUGACCUCAAAUUUUGCAUGUGAUCUCCCCUGUAUGUCUAGUUUUGCCAUGUUUGUUUGUAGGAAUUGUUGAUCUAUUUCCUAUUUGAUUGGGAUUUUUG